AAUCCAAGAUGCGCCCCGAAUCGAGAUAGCCUCGCCUCCCUCGCUUUUGCUUUUCUUCCCGAACCUAUUCGACGGGCGAUUGGGCAACCGGGCAAUCACAAUGGUGGAUCAAAUCUUUCCAGAUUCGCCGCCCAAGAUGACCAGCCGCCAGCCGCCGGAACCCAGCCGCCAGCCGCCGUACCCGUCGCCGGAACCCAGCCGCCAGCUGCCGUAGCAGUCGGCGGAGCCCUAGCCGCCAUCGAGCCGUUCGCGCGGCUUGUGAAAUGUGCGGCGCAGUUGCUUUACGGUAACGUGGGGUUCAAGGCUGGAGAGGUCAGAAUUGAUUGUGACGAAAACCGCGGCGUGGUGGUCAUGGUGCUCGACGCACUCACAAGAUACCAGUGGGUACCAGACACUCACCUUGCAAAAUCAUUAAAGGUGCAGAAGAAAAAGUUAUGUCUGAUCCUUGAAUUUCUUGAAAAACAAAUGUUCGUAAGAAGAUGUGAGGUGAAGGCCAAAACUGGACGAAAUGUCAGUAAUACUGCUACGACAGCUGGUGUUUCUGCUAUUCCCAGGAACGAGAAAGUGAAGUCAAAACAUCCUAAGUGUGUUGCUGAUGACAUGUAUGUUCUUCUGAAACAGAUAUGCUCUGUCGUAAGGUAUCACAUAAUGCAAAUGGAGGCUAACUUGAAGUCUCAACUAGAGAAUACAAAUACAGUCGAUAAGUACACAUGCCCCAAUUGUGGAAAAAGCUUUUCAGCAUUUGAUGUCAAGGAUUUAGUGAGUUGCACCGAUGGAAAUUUUUACUGUGAAAGUUGCAAGCAUGAACUAGUUGCAUGCAGCGAAUACGGAAAUUAUAAUGAGAGAGAGGGAAGAAGUGCAAACUUGUUGGACUUUCUUGAAAAUAUGAAGGAGAAACUAAGGCCACUCAAGACAAAACUUGAUCUGCUAGAGGACCUACCUGCUCCAGACUUUGGGAGUACCCCAGACUUCAAAGGAACUUAUAACAUUUCAGAUUGGUCGAGGACCAGUGUUCCACUUCCAGAACCUACAAACGGUGAUGAUUCUUUUUCAAGCCCUUGUGCAAAAGACGAUGAAUCUGAUGCAGGUGUUUCAGAGUUAAAGAUCUUGCCUUCAUGGCUGAUAAGAAAAGGUAUGAAACUUAAGCAAGCACACCUCAGUAACAGUUCUACUGUGUGUGGAGAGGGAGGUACAAAUAUACAGGAAGAAUACAUGAAGGCAUAUUAUGAGGCCAUACAGAAGAGGCAGGAAGACAGAAUAAGACACUCUGGUCAGUCAUCUGUCCCUGGAGGACCUUCUGUGAGUUCUGAGAGGCCAAUGGGCGUAAAGCGGCAGAAACUUUGUAACGACAUCAAUAACAAUGCACUAGAGUGCCAAGGGGAAGAACCGCCAGGGGAUACAUUCAGGACAUAAAUUGGAUAUCGAAUGCUGGGAACCUAAGAAUCAGGUGAAUAUGAAGAUGGGAAGAUGGCAUUGAGUAAAGAGGAUUUCAGGUCUACGAGUCAGUGGCGGUGUCCUUUUCUACAAACAACAAUACGAUGCAUAUGCCACAAAAACAGUAGCGUAGAUAGUGCAUCAACUGCCUUCUUACCUCUGGUUACCUAAAACCGAAGUGUGGUACUACGUAACUGUUUUUUUAGCCUUGAUUACCUAAUUGCUACAAACUGCAUUCUACUCACCCUUGCCAGAAUUCAGAAGCUCAACGGUUGGCAGCAAGCA
rnacentral:lncRNA from 1 species